ensembl:ncRNA ZK84.14 ncRNA
UGAUUUUUUUGCACUACACAAUGCACUCGGCAACAAUCGAAUCGGAAGAUGCAAAUGAUAACGCACUUUUGAUUUCUGGCCGGCUCCAUUGACAGGUGUUACUCAAAGUCACGUGAUAUCUUCAAAGAGCA